UACGUAGGGGCCGAGCGUUGUCCGGAGUUACUGGGCGUAAAGCGCGCGCAGGCGGCUCGUCAAGCCUGACGUGAAAGCCCCCGGCUCAACCGGGGAGGGUCGUCGGGGACUGGCGGGCUUGAGGUCGGCAGGGGUUGGUGGAAUUCCCGGUGUAGUGGUGAAAUGCGUAGAGAUCGGGAGGAACACCAGCGGCGAAGGCGGCCCCCUGGGCCGCUCCUGACGCUGAGACGCGAAGGCCAGGGUAGCGAACGGG
rnacentral:rRNA from 1 species